AUAUCGAGUGCAUAGAGGAGGUCUGUAUCUAUAAUUCUUAAAAUAAUUGUUAUGCUUUUUGUGAACGUUUAUCGUGAGUAAUUUAGUAAAGAAGGAUAAGAAAUCGUCAGACAGGCAACAGAAGGAUAAGAAAUCGUCAGACAGGGCACUUCCUGUAUUGAAUCUUCUCAGGUUUUGGCCUGCUAUAUGAGUUCUGUUAUACUCACAGACACCAUUCAAACAGUUUUAGAAACUUUAGAGUGUUUUCUAUCCAAAUCUACUAAUUAUAUGCAUAUUCUCGUUUCUGGGCAAGAGUAGUAACCAGUUUAAAUCGGGUAUGUUUUUUAUCCGGCCGUGCAAAUACUGCCCCCUAGCCCCAACAGGUUUUAAUCUGGAUGGUCUCCCUUUGUUCAAAAGUACCAAUAUGUCAUUAUGGCCACUUUUGUGCUCCAUCAAUCUAUCACCACCCACAGUGUUUCCUCUGUUACUUGCAAUGGCAUCAUCGAAACCAAGCUCCCAGGAAUUCCUCAAUGACACUUUGCUGGAGCUUAAAGAGUUGAUGCAGACCGGCUUGAAGUGGGGAGACACAACACUGCAAGUGAAAGUUUGUUCUGUAACAUAUAAUGCACCUGCAAAAGCCAUGGUAAAAUGCAUAAAGAUGUAUUCUGGCUACUAUGGCUGUGACAGGUGCACACAAAAAGGCAGGUAUGAUUGGAGGAUGAUGUACCCGCAGGUAAAAAACAUGUGUCCCAGAACUGACAAAUCCUUUAGGGAAUUGGUACAGCCAGAACAUCACCUUGAAGGGAAAACCUCUCCUUUUUGCAUCCUCCCCAUUGAUAUGGUGAAGUCAUUCCCAAUUGACUAUAUGCACCUUUGUUGCCUCGGAGUAACCCGGAAGCUCUUGAUGAUGUGGACUAGGGGAAAGACUGGGGCCAGGUUGGCGUUGGUGCAAGUCAAGGAGGUAAGUCAACAACUAAACCGACUAAAGGAUUCAAUUCCAGACUGCUUUGCUCGCUAACCACGGGGAUUGGAUGACCUUGACCGUUGGAAGGCCACAGAAUUCAGACAGUUUCUACUCUAUACUGGGAAAGUAGUGCUGAGAAGAAUCUUGUCUAAAGAACAGUACACACACUUCAUGGCCUUCAGUGUUGCCAUGUGCAUUUUGGUUUCUCCUCAACUUUCUUCAAUCCACAGUGCCUAUGCUCAUGCUUUACUGAACUUCUUUGUGGAGCAGGGAAGGGUUUUGUAUGGUGACACAUUUCUCGUGUAUAAUGUUCACUCCUUCUACACCUCACUGCUGAUGCUGAAGAACAUGGCUGCCUUGACAACUGUAGUGCUUUCAAGUUUGAGAACUACUUGCAACAACUAAAGAAGAUGAUCCGUUCAGGGAGGCGGCCACUUGUGCAAAUUUGUAAAAGAGUGCAAGAACGCACCGUUAGAGCUUCUCCCCGCCAACAGGUCAUCAAAAUGAGACGGCCAAACGAUGCCUACAUACUUAAUGAUAGGUCAUGCUGUGAGGUAGUGAGCCAACAAGAUGCCUCAGAUACUUACCUCUGCAGGGUGUUUCAGCAUCUGGAAUCUUGCACGCUGAGUCCUUGUGACUCAAGACUGUAUUGGACUUUCCUCACCACUACGAGGAGCACACAAAUGCAUCUCAUUGCAAAGAGCAGUCUUGUUAAGCAAGCUAUUAUACUUGAGGAGGACCAUGGCACUCGUGUUGUGCUUACCAUCUUGCACAGCCUGUAGCAAGCCCCAUUUAGCUACAGCCAAGUUCACAAGCUGGAUUAGUUUUGCAAACUAUCUUGGCUGGUAAAUCAAGAGACUGAACAGUGUGGAAUUGGUGUUUUGCUUUUCUACACAGGGCACACAGUGUUAUUAUGUUGUACAUUUUGUAAAAGAGAACACUGUUGAAGUUGUACCAGAGCAGUGGGUGGAGAAGAGAGAUGGGGUGAGUUGAUCAGUUAAAUGGUUUACCCUUUUCAGGCAAAGGGAUGGAUAAAUAGUUCACUUUAAACAGUGUCUCAUAUCUUGCAGGUCCUGUGUUGCUACUGGCCAAGAAAUGCCAGCGCAACAAUGAUUAAGAGAUGAGACCGGCCUGACAAAAUAUUAUGGGAGAAGUACAGAAUUUCCAUCUUUUCAUCCACUGGUAAAAUAAUAUUUUACUGUAUCCAUCCACUCCCGUUUAUAUUGCAACGUAUGCUUGGUGGUGUGGCUCUGGAGCAGGUUGCAUCAGUUGAACAUACGUAAGGCUAGUUCCAACGUAGAAUAUGUUCUAAGCCAGGCGUAAACCUGUGUCACCACCGGGUUGUAAGUAAUAGCUUUUUCUACGCCAGGGUGUAAAAACGAAGUGUAAUGUGGAGUAGACGUAUAGUAUAAAUCUAUAACUAGUUUCCAAGGUAAGUGUUUCAUGACUAGUCAUUUCGCGUCUUGUUCAAUUUUCUAAAUCAUUAUGUCGGGCGUAGGUAGGCCCAACUUAUCUCUUACACCUUAUUUGCGUCAAACUGGUGCAACACACUCCUGGUCAGUAGAGUCAGGAACUUCCCCCCCUUAAGUACCAUAUGUAUUUGCUGAAAGUAUUACUAUGUGAAUUACAAAUACUCAAUACCCUGUUUUGCCAGCGUUAAUAGGAAAGUAUUUAUGACUAUGUUUAUUGCACGUACAGACAAUUACUCUGUGGCAGAGCAAUGAGCCAAAUGGGGGGUUGACACCUCCAAUGUUGAAUCUGACGAGGAACCAGCGAAGAGGGCGGUGACUAAACCAAUCAGAUUCCGUGUGGAGGCACCUGAUGAUGAUGGAAGUGAAGCACUCCAGAAAAAGACAAAUGAACCCAGAUAAGCACAGCUUCCAGUUCCCCAGCUUCCACCAGCCCCUAGUGCAACUUCAAGAUCCAGUGUCUUUGAAAAGACCCUACAAGUUGCAGAUGCCGAGGACUUGAGGCCAUGUGCCACCUCAAGCCAGAGCGACAUUAGUCCAAGUGGCAGCCAGGAAGAAGCUGGCCAAGACACAGCAUCAGAAUCAGGUUUCUUUAGCCAUCAAGAUAUUGAUCUCGAAGUCGUAAAUGUAGAAAGUUUAAAUAACAGCAUGAUUUUUUACUUAUAUUUUAGACCAAGAGCUGCCAUCCCUGCUUGAUGAGCCUAUGGCUUCUGAGAUGCAUGCUGGAUACAUUAAAGAUCUUCAAGCAGUGGAGAUGAGGAUAAUGGUGAAACUGGAGAUGAUCCGUACAGAGUUCAAGACUGUUCUGAACCAAGUUCUGGAGGCCAUAGAGGCCCGGCAGCCAAAGGAGUCGGAAUCCUUGGGGCAACUUGAAAUGCUGCAAAACCCUGCAGAAACAAAUGAGGAACUGAAGGAUAUCUGUGAAACACAAAGACUCCCACUAUCGAAAGAAAAUGAUCCGAUACCUGACCCUCUGCUGUGGCCUGGACCUGGGCUCAGGAAUCAGACGAAUGAUGAGAAAAAUUGGAACAGAGGAGCUGUGGACAGGCUACUCCUUGAAGGGCAGGAAGGGGAAGAGGGCCUUUAAUGAGCUAUCAAUCUAUGAUGCUGUCACAAGAGCAUCCCUGAAAGCACACCCCAAGGCUACCUACCAAGAGGUAGAUGACAAAAUAGCAGACGCUCUCAAACAUGCACCAGCUCGGCUCAAGAGUAAGAGAAAGGUAUGAUUAAAAAUAACACUGAUUUUUUUAAAUGUUUUUGCUUCACUUUAAUCCAGUCGGUCAGUAUAGGUAAAGGAUUGUGCUAGUACAAAAGGAAUGUAGUAGGGAGUCGACGUUAAACCGGCAUUUUGAUCAUUUGUUUAUGGAAAAUAAUGACCAAUUUGUGUUAUUGUGACUUCCAGGAGCGGGUUGAGGAAGCAGUGGAUGAGGAUAGAGCAGCAGCACCUGAAUAAACAUAACAUAGUUAUUCACUUUUAGCUUUAAGCAGUUUCACAGUUCUUGAUUGGAGUGCAGUGUUCAUGUUUUUACUGACUUGUUAUUUUGUGAGCUUAUUGCUGUGAUCUUGUUUCCGAAUCUAUUGUGAUACAGUUUAAGUAAAAAAAAAAAAAUGUAAACGUAUUUUCUGGAAUUUUGCAUAUUUCGUCAGUGGACACCUACCGACAGGAUACUGUGUAUAUGUUCAGGGUAGAUUAAAUGACAUGUCUUAAGGGGCCUCCCGAGUGGUGCAGUGGUCUAAGAUACUGCAUCGCAGUGCAAGCUGCGUUGCUACAGAUGCUGGUUCGAUACCUGUCUGUGUCACAGCCAGCCGCGACUGGGAGACCCAUGAGGUGAUGCACAAUUGGCCCAGUGUCGUUAGGGGAGGGUUUGGCCGGCCGGGAUGUCCUUGUCCCAUCACACUGUUACGUGCCUUAUUGGUACUGUAGGUACCCACUGACGAAAGUUAUGUUCCCAGUGGUUACCAGAAACUGCAUUUUAUGGGGCUCUCAACGUACUUUCUGACGUUUAGCAACAUUAUGAGAUUUACCUAAAAAUACACAUAUUUAACUGUUUAAAAUCCACCACAUUUCUACGUCCUGAAAAGACUUGAGACGUAAGUUUUGUCAGCGGACACCACAGCUACGUAGAAGGCACCUUUCACAAUAACAUGACUUAUGUAGGGACUAAAAUAACUUUGUGGUCACAUCCUGGAAUGUAAUUUUGUAGCGACUCCUGUGGCAGGCCGGGUGCAUGCACGCCAUAACGUCGCUAAACGUCAGAAAGUACAUUGAGAGCACCAUAAAAUGCAGUUUCUGGUAACCACUGGGAACGUAACUUUCGUCAGUGGGUACCUACAGUACCAAUAAGGCACGUUACAGUGUGCACGUUCAGGGAAGAUUCAAGGACAUCUCUUAUAAAGUUACUGAAUAACGUUAUUUAGCUGUUUAAAAUCCCCCACUUUUCUACGUCCUGAAAAGACUUGGGACGUAAGUUUUGUCAGCAGACACCACAGCUACGUAGAAGGAACAUUUCACAAUAACGUUAUCAUGACUUAUGUAGGGACUAAAAUUACUUUCUGGUCAUGUCCUGGAACGUAAUUUUGUUAGCUGGGUAGUUAAGUAAAGGUUGAAUAAUAAAUCUUGUUUCUCAUGGUCUGAGAGUCCUUUAGGUGCCUUUUGGCAAACUCCAAGUGGGCUGUCAUGUGCCUUUUACUGAGGAGUGGCUUCGUCUGGCCACUCUGCCAUAAAGGCCUGAUUUGUGGAGUGCUGCAGAGAUGGUUGACCAUCUGGAAGGUUCUCCUAUCUCCACAGAGAAA